CCUACGGGGCGCAGCAGUGGGGAAUAUUGCACAAUGGGGGAAACCCUGAUGCAGCGACGCCGCGUGAGUGAAGAAGUAAUUCGUUAUGUAAAGCUCUAUCAGCAGGGAAGAAAAUGACGGUACCUGAGUAAGAAGCCCCGGCUAACUACGUGCCAGCAGCCGCGGUAAUACGUAGGUGGCAAGCGUUGUUCGGAAUAACUGGGCGUAAAGGAUGCGUAGGCGGUUAAACAAGUUAUAUGUUAAAUAUAUAGGCUUAACCUGUAGAAAGCAUAUAAAACUGUUUAACUAGAGUGCAGGCGAGGUAA
rnacentral:rRNA from 1 species